GUACACGCUGUGACUAGCAUAUCAAUAAGCGGAGGAAAAGAAACUAACAAGGAUUCCCCUAGUAACGGCGAGUGAAGCGGGAAGAGCUCAAAUUUGAAAUCUUAAAGGGUUUCCCUUUACGAAUUGUAGUUUAAAGAAGUGUUUUCUGUUGAGGUUUUGGUAAAAGUUCUUUGGAAUAGGACAUCAUAGAGGGUGAGAAUCCCGUAUUUGACCUUUACUUUCAACUUUGUGAUACACUUUCAAAGAGUCGGAUUGUUUGGGAAUGCAGUCCAAAAUGGGUGGUAAAUUUCAUCUAAAGCUAAAUAUUGGCGAGAGACCGAUAGCGAACAAGUACCGUGAGGGAAAGAUGAAAAGAACUUUGAAAAGAGAGUUAAACAGUACGUGAAAUUGUCAAAAGGGAAGCGUUUGACACCAGUGUUGUUUUUCUGAAAAUCAAUUAAAGAACUGUUUAUGCUAAGUUGUUUAGACUUUAUCAGCUAACUGUUUAGUUUUGAGCUUUUCUUUAAUGCACUUUUCAGUUAACAAGUCAACAUCAAUUUCUUUUGCUGUAAAAAAGCUUGAGGAAGGUGGCUUGAGAUUCGUCUUAAGUGUUUAUAGCCUCUUGCCUAUGCAGUCGGAGAGAUUGAGGUCUGCAGCGUAGAUCCUUCGGGGCUAAAUGCAUUUGUGCUAAGCUAUAGCAUUUUAUAGACAACUUGUUGACUAUGAUUUGUCUUGUAGCUUACUCGCUUUAUGUUAUUUUACCUACGCUUAGGAUGUUGAUAUGCAUGACUGAUAU
rnacentral:rRNA from 1 species